rnacentral:rRNA from 1 species
GGGGAAUAUUGGACAAUGGGGGCAACCCUGAUCCAGCCAUGCCGCGUGUGUGAAGAAGGCCUUUUGGUUGUAAAGCACUUUAAGCAGGGAGGAGAGGCUAAUGGUUAAUACCCAUUAGAUUAGACGUUACCUGCAGAAUAAGCACCGGCUAACUCUGUGCCAGCAGCCGCGGUAAUACAGAGGGUGCGAGCGUUAAUCGGAAUUACUGGGCGUAAAGCGAGUGUAGGUGGCUCAUUAAGUCACAUGUGAAAUCCCCGGGCUUAACCUGGGAACUGCAUGUGAUACUGGUGGUGCUAGAAUAUGUGAGAGGGAAGUAGAAUUCCAGGUGUAGCGGUGAAAUGCGUAGAGAUCUGGAGGAAUACCGAUGGCGAAGGCAGCUUCCUGGCAUAAUAUUGACACUGAGAGUCGAAAGCGUGGGUAGCAAAC